rnacentral:rRNA from 1 species
GACGAACGCUGGCGGCGUGCUUAACACAUGCAAGUCGAACGAUGAAGAAGAGAAACGCGAACUUCGGUUCAACUUUCACUUCGGAUUAGUGGCAGACGGGUGAGUAACGCGUGAGCAACCUACCUCUUACAAAGGGAUAGCCUCGGGAAACCGUGAUUAAUACCAUAUGACACAUUCAUAAGGCAUCUUAAGAAUGUUAAAGCUAUGGCGGUAAGAGAUGGGCUCGCGUCCCAUUAGCUAGUUGGUGAGGUAACGGCCCACCAAGGCGACGAUGGGUAACCGGCCUGAGAGGGUGAACGGUCACAUUGGAACUGAGACACGGUCCAAACUCCUACGGGAGGCAGCAGUGGGGAAUAUUGCACAAUGGAGGGAACUCUGAUGCAGCGACGCCGCGUGAGCGAUGAAGGAAUUCGUUUCGUAAAGCUCUGUUCUAUGGGAAGAAAAGGACUGUACCAUAGGAGAAAGCCCCGGCUAAAUACGUG